UACGUAGGGUGCAAGCGUUGUCCGGAAUUAUUGGGCGUAAAGAGCUCGUAGGCGGUUUGUCGCGUCUGCUGUGAAAACCCGAGGCUCAACCUCGGGCCUGCAGUGGGUACGGGCAGACUGGAGUGUGGUAGGGGAGACUGGAAUUCCUGGUGUAGCGGUGGAAUGCGCAGAUAUCUGGAGGAACACCGGUGGCGAAGGCAGCUUGCUGGGACGGUACUGACGCUGAGGCGCGAAAGCGUGGGGAGCAAACAGG
rnacentral:rRNA from 1 species